UUUUUUUUUUUUUUAAAGGCUGUUUUAAAUCUUAAACCUAAUUGGUUUCUAAACAACAGCAAAAAAUUGUUGUUACCAUUUUUGCCAUUUGUGAUAGACAAAUGCCACUUGUUUACUCUCAGCCUUUAGGGAGAUAAUUAUAUGCUUGCUUGUGGAAAAGACAGAAUUAAAGCAGGCAGUUUCAUGUUCUAGGAGAUCAUGUUUUCUGUUGGUUCAUCAUCUGUCAUUAGUUCCUGUUCCCAAAAAGCAAACCUUAGAAUGUUAUCUUUAACAGAAGACACAAGUAUGAUGUGGGGUUUUUGCAUUAUGAGAUUUUAGUGCUUACCGGCCUGGGAGCUCCCUGGGGCCCGUAACUUUUCAUAUUUGUAUUUCUCAGCGCCUAGCGUCUGUCAGGCUCAAUACUUCUUAUCAAAGGAAACAUUGAAAUUUGCCCUGUCGGGGGAGUUCCUGUCGUGGCUCAGCAGUUAAGAACCCGCUUAGUAUCAAUGAGGACGCAGCUUCAGUCUCAGUGGGUGAAGGACCCGGCACUGCUGUGAGCUGUGGUGUAGGUCGCACAGUCGGCUUGGAUCUGGCAUUGCUGUGGCUGUGGUGUAGGCUGGCAGCUCUGUAGCUCUGAUUCGACUUCUAGCCUGGGAAAUUCCAUAUGCCACAAGUGCAGCCCUAAAAAGGAAAAAAAAAAAAAAAAAGAAAUUUGCCCUUUCAUUAGUCGACCUGAUUUUCAGUAAGUGUGACGUCUGACUCAGCUAAACUUUAUUGUGUCUGUAGUAUGUGGCUGAGCACUCUUUAGCCAUGUCUUUUAUGCAGCCAAAAUGAAGCAGUCUCAGUCCGUUUUUUGUUUUAUAUUUUGAGUCGUGGAUUAUACUCACAGAUAGGCUGAGGAAUUGGUUGCAGAGGUGCAAAAGGGGUCAUGCCUACCACUUCUCUGCUCUCAGCAUCAUGAUCUCCAAACUUGGACUUCAGCCUUUGAGGCCUGCAAAAGGCUUAUCUGAAGUAGAUUAAAUAUCAGUUUUUCUGAAUGCACAUUUUUUUUUCUAUGCUAUCUUCUGUCACUUUCUGAAAUUGAUUCAAAGAACAGCAGUCCAAUGAGUACGACCUCUUCUGUUCCCAGAAUGGCCAGUGACAUUUUUCUUCACCCUCCUUGUUCUGCUAACAGACCAUUUGGGGUUAAAAAUACACAGUCAUUGUGUAUGGUGUUUCCUAACUUCUUUGCAUCAUUGUCGUAUGUAUUUCCUGCCUAAUGACGGCGCUGUCCAAACCAGGAGCACUAACGUUGUGACCACCAGAUGUGGAAAUCCUGCCCCAGGCUUGCCUGAGGACAUCACUGAAAUGACAGUGUGUCUGUAAAAUGAUCUUGUGCAUAAGGAACUCUGUUUUUGUUUUUCACUUAGUAACUGAGGGUUACAGUUAAGGUGUUGCCAGUAUACAUUUAAAUGGAUCAAAUACUGGGUAGAUGAAGUUAACAUUGUAAAAUACCACCUUUUCAAUUGCAAAGGUAGAAUUUUCAACUUGAUGGUCAGGUUUGUUUGGUGUCAUUUUUUUCCUCAACUGUUGAUACACAACAACACUCUGACAUGAUCUACCCUUUAUGCACACAAGAAUCUGGAAUUAGGAGUUCCCGUCGUGGCGCAGUGGUUAAGGAAUCCGACUAGGAACCAUGAGGUUGCGGGUUCGGUCCCUGCCCUUGCUCAGUGGGUUAACGAUCCAGCGUUGCCGUGAGCUGUGGUGUAGAUUGCAGGUGCGGCUCGGAUCCCGCGUUGCUGUGGCU
rnacentral:lncRNA from 1 species